GAACAAAAAAGCGUCAAUACUGUCUCAGUUGAAUCUUUCUACGAGCUUCGCUCUAUCACUGUUUGUAUCUUGUCGAUGAAUGAAGCAUCCCACCGGAGAUAGGAAGCCUACAAAAUUUGUGGGAGCUGGACCUUUCAACCAAUAACUUUUCAGGUUCAAUAUCAUCCACCAUUGGGAAUCUAUCGAGUCUAAUGGGCUUAUAUCUCUCUUCCAACAAAUUAAAUGUUUUUGACUCGUAUAGAAGAUAUUAAUAUCUUGUGGAAAAUGGAUCCACAGACAUGAGAAUUUCACUCUUAUAAUUGCUGGGAAUGGAUCCACAGUGAACGGACUCUGGUUUUGCUUUGCUGGUAACUUCCAAAAUGGACAAGUUUUGGAGAUGGAUUCGAGGGAAGAAAUUAUCUUGUGGGAAGCCAAAUUCAAGAGGGAGAUUGCAACAUCUUCAUAAGAUGCAAGUACAAUUGGAUCCAUUUGUUAUUGAUAAAAAACAUGCACAAUUUAGUGAUGUAAGGAGUGUUCUCGGAUAUUGUUUGCAGUAGUUCAGAAGAUAAACCUUUUGGUACUGCUCAUACAAACACUACCUCUCCCACACCACUGCCCUUGAGGAAUUGAAGUGAUCGAUCGGAAAGUUGUACCAAUGCGCAGGGGAACUUGAUUCUAAGCCAAAGAUAAUUGUGUGAUUCCUUGUUUUUUAAUUUGGAACUACUGCUUGUGUAUGAGCUUGUUCUCUAUUUCUUUUUACCUUUCUAAUUGAUUCUUCUCGUUUUGG